rnacentral:lncRNA from 1 species
AUAAGUGUUAAAUCUUAUCAAGUUUUUUUAGUAUCCUUUGAGAUAACCACUGGUUUUCUCCUUCUCUUCUUAUCAAUGUGUUAAAAUGACACGGAUUGAGUUUCCAAAGUUAAGGCCACUUUUGAGUCACUGGAAUAGAUCCACAUAUAUUAGGCAAUUACAUAUUGCUGGAUGUGAUUGGUUAAUAAUCGUUUGGGAGCCUGACAUUCGUAUUCCUAAGAGAUAAUGGCCUGAUUUCACUAUGACUGACCUGAGCUGCCCAGGUGGCUUACGGAUGGCCAGUUUGCAACCUUUGAUCUAAGACUACUAUCCUUUUGGCCAAAUCCAUAAUGUCUGCCCCAAGGAGAAGCCUUUUCAGCACCCACAGAAGUCUAGGAGGCACCUGAGAGCCGUGAGCUUUGAGGAGCAUGAUGAUGACUGUCCCAGCCUUUGAGCUGUGUCUGGGUAAAUGGGCACAUGCUGACCAGAUGGCCUUACCCUCAUCUGCUCUGUGAGCAGGAGUGCUAUGAAGGGAAAGUGGACUCCACAUCAGGCUGCCAGAAUGUGUCCACUAUCUUGUCAUGCUAUGGUGACUUUCUGAACCACUCUCCAGCCCCCUGAUAUGGAUUUAUUUGUAACCUGCAGAAGGAAAGAAAAAAAAUUAACAGAGAACUAGAAACUACUAAAAAACUGUUAGAACUGGAAAAUGAAAUAAAUUAAGAACUCCUCUCAGGCUGGGGAUAUAGGUAAAGCAUGCACUUAACACACACCAGGCCCUGGAUUUAAUAUCCAGCACCAUGAUCACAUUAAAAAAAAAUCAAUUUUCUUGAAAAAAAAAAGAGAUAAUGGCCUGUCAUUUUCUUUUUGUAUGGUGUCAUUGUAAGGAUUGGAUAUCAGGGUUAAGUCAGCCUCAUUUAGAAAAAUCCAUCUGGAAAUGCCCCCUCCGGCUCCAUCCCUGAAAGUGUGGGUAGGAUGGAUAUUACUUCUUUAAUGUUUGGAAAGUUUCCUGUGAAGCCAUUCAGGCCAAGAGUCUCAAUUCAACUUGUUUAACUGAUAUAAAGCUACUCAAAUAGUCUGCUCUUUUCUUCUAUCCAUAUUAGUAAAUUGUUUAAGGGAUCUGCAAACCCUUCUUUUUUCCUUUCAUUCUGAGGAUUGAACCCAGGGGUGCUUAACUACUGAGCCCCAUCCUCAGCCCUUUUUUAUAUUUCAUUGUGAGACGGGUCUCAUUAAGUUGUUUAGGGCCUCACUAAGAUGCCGAGACUGGCUUUGAACUUGCA